UGGGGAAUUUUGGACAAUGGGCGAAAGCCUGAUCCAGCAAUGCCGCGUGUUGUGAAGCAAGCCUUCGGGUUGUAAAGCACUUUUGUCCGGAAAGAAAUCCUUGGCUCUAAUACAGUCGGGGGAUGACGGUACCGGAAGAAUAAGCACCGGCUAACUACGUGCCAGCAGCCGCGGUAAUACGUAGGGUGCAAGCGUUAAUCGGAAUUACUGGGCGUAAAGCGUGCGCAGGCGGUUUGCUAAGACCGAUGUGAAAUCCCCGGGCUCAACCUGGGAACUGCAUUGGUGACUGGCAGGCUAGAGUAUGGCAGAGGGGGGUAGAAUUCCACGUGUAGCAGUGAAAUGCGUAGAGAUGUGGAGGAAUACCGAUGGCGAAGGCAGCCCCCUGGGCCAAUACUGACGCUCAUGCACGAAAGCGUGGGGAGCAAGCAGGAUUAGAUACCCUGGUAGUCCACGCCCUAAACGAUGUCAACUAGUUGUUGGGGAUUCAUUUCCUUAGUAACGUAGCUAACGCGUGAAGUUGACCGCCUGGGGAGUACGGUCGCAAGAUUAAAACUCAAAGGAAUUGACGGGGUCAUAGCUG
rnacentral:rRNA from 1 species